rnacentral:miRNA from 1 species
CAGGGUAGUUGUUGCGAAUGUUCCUCUCUGUGCUGCCAUUGGGAACCGUCCCAAAUCGGAAAGGGGGUGAGAAGUCAUUUGGUUUCUGGAACUAGAAAGGCAGAAAAAGAAAA